UCGGCUCAAUUGUCCCCAGUUCUCGUGUCAUUCCUCCUGCUUUUAUGCAACCAAUGCUAAAAGCACUUGACUGAUAAUUCUAUUGAAUAUGUGCCCUACUUACGCAGCAUUCAAAUGGCAUUCAUUACGGGCAUACUAGAAAAUCUCGCGGUUUUUUGCAAUCCUGUAUGGGUGGUGGAUGACAACAGAAAAUGGAUGGAAAAGACACAGCACUUAAUUAUAACUUACCAAAGGAUUGAAGCUCUGAAGGAACACAGCUAUCCGUCGGUCAGUAGCGAGUCUUCAAGUGAUCAACAGGAAACGGUUUGCAACAAUUCGAAGGACAAUACACUUCGAAGUAAUGAUGCUUGCACGCACGGAACCACGAUCAGUGAAUGGAGCGAGGAGCAUAAGGAUAUAACCAAUACUUCAUUGGAUCCGGCGGACAUGAAAUGCCCGUCUGAAGACAAGAAUCCUGGCUCAAGUGCUUGGCAAUCAAGUGGCGUUUCUCCUCACCUGGUCUCGCCCAGUUCCGAUAUUUCGCCCUGCAACAGUCAAAAAUCUCCCUCACCAGAAUUGAUGUUGACUGAUGCACACCUUCAACCCAGUCCAAAGAAGUAUCAUCUUUUCGAUUGCCCACAAUGGCUUGAUUUCCCAAAACAGGAUUCGUUUGCUGAUGUGGCCAGGACCCCAGCCGAAUGGCUGCAAACAAGGUCCGGCCUGUGCAGGACCGAGCCCUGCAGAAACGAUCCAGCUGCGUGGGCCAGCUGGAUGCUUGGACAACAUCAGCCGGCUGACAGCGAUGACCAGUUCGUCCGGAAACAGAAAAACCUCGGCGCCGAAAUCGCCGGUGCGCUAUCACAGCCGGUGACGAGCAAGGAGCUGCAGGUCAUCUCGGGAAUGGCGCUGAAGCGGCCGACCGGCGCCGAGCGCCAGCUACUGCGA